UCCACUAAAAGUUAGACCAGUCAUACGCACAAUGUUAGCUUUAAAAAACUCGCACAAUACGCUGGUAAGCAUAUGAUAAAUUAAUACAAUACUUCCAAGCAAUUGCGAAUGUAAGUUGCUGUGAAUUUUUUUCCGAAUUUCGAAAUCUUUAACGAACCUUUAAUGAAACGUCUAAAAGUAGAAUCAGGAGUUAUUGAUUUUUGCAUUAUAUAUCUCCUUGACAAGAAAUUUUUUGUUUCAUCUAGCCAUACAUUUUGAUAGAUGUCUCUUGCAAUGAACCAUUGUUUGUUUAAAAUAUCCUAAAACCAAAUAACAUGUGCGAAUACGUUAUUUAAUAGUGCAAAAUUCUACAAAGAAAGAAUCGAAAUUUAUGCUUAAGCCAUUCAUGUUAACGCUCAUCAAGAAAGCUAAUUUGACUAAAUACAAUCAAUGGAGAGUGCUAGUAUACAUUGCUUGUUUUAACUGACAUUUUUAAAUUAACUACGAUAAGUGUUAAGAUUAAACAAAGUGAGAAACGUAACAGUGCUUAAGUUCAGUUUUCUUGCGAAUGUAUUGAAUUACUUUCACUUGCCCAGCUAGUAAACAAUUAAGGCUUUGGUACCGCUUUGUCCUUCUAAUAAAUUAUGGUUAGUAGCGAAAAUAACCAGCCUUUUGACUGAUGAGAGGUAUAUAUUCAUUUGUCAAUUCAA